AACACUGAUGAUAAUGCCCUUUUUGUGUAAACUGAUUGAAAAAAAUGCCUUCGGAUUUUCAGCCUGCUACAUAACAUCACAAGGUGAUCUGAUUCUAAUAGACCAAUGAACAUUCAUCGUUCAUUUGCAUAUACUGUAUCCUCCUAGUUCUGGUGCAGCAUCGAUUUAUUUUUCAUAAUCAAGUGUCAGAGAAGCACACAUGGGACUGCAUUGCAAAUCAGGCUAGGUACACAGCUGGAUUUUCCAGCAGCUCCAUCUUUAUGUCACAUGGAUCUUGAAACCGGCAGCAGUAGCAACCAUUCAUGAAGGUCAUCGCUGAGGGAGGACCAUGAGGUCAUGGACUUCUUGGAGGAAGAUGCUUUUGAUGAGGAGCUACUUGGUGAAGAUGAUGACGAAGAGUAUGACACACACACAGGACAGACAGGUGGACAUCGACUGGCAGAGAAGCAGCUGAACUGGUUCCCCCCAAUCCUCCUAGGUUGUUGCUGGUGGAGGUGGCUGCUGUACAUACCAAGCUGGUGGUGCAGGUCGUAUAAAUGCUCUAGCCUGGUCCCAGAUCUGUUUAUGCUGUCUUGCUAACUCCUAAUGUAUGAUAGUUGUCAUGCCAUGUUACCACAGCAGUUGGCUAUACAUAGGAGUUGGCUAUAUAGCACAAACAGAUUGAAGACCAAGCUAACAUUUGGCUGAUUGUCAGAACAGAAAGAGUGAAACUUCAUUGUACUUGAAGACUACUCUAGAAAUUGUUGUCUUUGUUACAGGAAAGAUAAAAAGGAGAAUAUGACGUGGAUUGCUUGUGUGGCAUCCGAAUGCAAGGGCAAGUAGUUGUGUAUCAUUUUAUGGUUAUGAUAGUGAUGUAACUUGCACUUUGUUUUCAGGUUUGAAUGAGACAAUGUAUUCCCCUAACCUUAUUCUUUCAAUAAAGUUAUUGUUUUAUUAAUAUUAUAU